UGAAAGAGCCCUCCCCCAACACGUUGCCUUGAUUGCUCGAACGACGACCCAAAAACUAGCCGCGUUGCCUUGAUUCCUCGAACAUGUUGCCUUUAUUUGUGGAACCAUGACCGGAUGACUAGAAGCGUUGCCUAGAUCUGUCGAACGACGACCUUGAAACGAGCCCGGUUGCCUUGAUUCCUUGAGCAUGUUGCCUUGAUUUUUUGAACGAUGACCUGAAAACUAGCCUAAUGGAAAACAUGGGUGCUAUUUCUCAUUGCCGAGACGUAUAUAUUUGGGGGGACCAUAGAGACGAAGCAACCAUCUAGCACCAACAAGGCAAGCCCCAAGACCCGUGAAGGAGCCCACCCCCAACGCGUUGCCUUGAUUGCUCGAAAGACGAGCCAAAAACUAGCCCCGUUGCCUUGAUUCCUCGAACGUGUUGCCUUAAUUUGUCGAACGAUGACCUGAUGGCUGACAUUGUUGCCUAGAUUUGUCGAACGACGACCAUGAAACGAGUCAUGUUGCCUUGAUUUUUUGAACGAUGACCUGAAAACUAUCCUAAUGCACAACAUGUGGGCUGUUCCUUAUUGCCUUGUUAGCUAGUCCCCCGUUGCAUUGAUUUCUCCAACACGUUGCCUUGACAUGUCGUACGAUGGCCUGAAAACUAGCCCUGUUGCCUAGAUUUCUAGAACAACGAAAUGGAAACUAGCCUCGCUGACUUGAUUGCUCGAACACGUUGCCUUGAUAUCCCUAAUGACGACCUGAAAACUUGCAGCGUUGCCUUGAUUACUCGCACACGUUGCUUGGAAACUAGCCACGAUGCCUUGAUUUUCCCCGACGUAGUGUGCAUACGAAAAAUUAUGCAUCCUCAAGGAAAUCAAUGUCUGUUCCUGUCACCAAGCUCUUUGUGCAAUAUGUAUAUAUAGGGGAGGGCAUGGUUGCUGAAUCCACCAUCGAGCAUCGCAAAGGCAAGCCCCAAGACCCGUGAAAGAGCCCUCCCCCAACACGUUGCCUUGAUUGCUCGAACGACGACCCAAAAACUAGCUGCGUUGCCUUGAUUCAUCGAACAUGUUGCCUUUAUUUGUGGAACGAUGACCGGAUGACAAGAAGCGUUGCCUACAUUUGUCGAACGACGACCUUGAAACGAGCCCGGUUGCCUUGAUUCCUUGAGCAUGUUGCCUUCAUUUUUUGAACGAUGACCUGAAAACUAGCCUAAUGGAAAACAUGGGUCCUAUUCCUCAUUGCCUUGACGUAUAUAUUGGGGGGACCAUAGAGACGACGCAACCAUCGAGCACCAACAAGGCAAGCCCCAAGACCUGUGAAGGAGCCCGCCCCCCAAAGCGUUGCCUUGAUUGCUCGAACGACGAGCCAAAAACUAGCCGUGUUGCCUUGAUUCCUCGAACGUGUUGCCUUAAUUGGUCGAACGAUGACCUGAUGACUAACAUUGCUGCCUAGAUUUUUCGAACGAUGAACAUGAAGCUAGUCUUUUUGCCUUGAUUCCUUCAGCUUGUUGCCUUGAUAUUUUGAACGAUGACCUGAAAAGGAUGCUGAUGGACAACCGGGGUGUUUCCUAAAAAAAAGAGCCGUGUUUCCUUGAUUCCUCGAACAUGUUGCCUUAAUUUGUCGAACGAUGACAUGAUGAAUAGCAUUGUUGCCUAGAUUUGUCGAACGAGGACCUGAUGACUAACGUUGUUGCCUAGAUUUGUCGAACGAGGACCUGGAAACUAGUCCUGUUGUCUUGAUGCCUUGAGCUUGUUGCCUUGAUUUUUUGAACGAUGACCUGAAAACUAUCGUGAGGGACAACCAGGGUGUGCUAUACUCGUUGCCUUGACGUCUAAUAUUUGGGGGACCAUAGGGACGAAGCAACCAUCGAGCACCGACAAGGCAAGCCCCAAGACCCGUGAAGGAGCCCACCCCCAAACAUGUUGCCUUGUUUGCUCGAACGACGACCUAAAGAAAGCCCUGUUUCCUUGAUUCCUCGAACAUGUUGCCUUAAUUUGUCGGACGAUGACAUGAUGAAUAGCAUUGUUGCCUAGAUUUGUCGAACGACGACCUUGAAAGUAUCCAUUUUGCCUUGAUUCGUUGAGCAUGUUGCCUUGAUUUUUAGAAUGAUGGCCUGAACACAAGCCUUGUGGCCUUGCUUUGUAGAACAUGUAGUCUUGAUAUCUAAAACAACAUCCGGAUACCUAUACCCAUUGCCUUAAUGUAAAAAUAGGGGGACCGUAGAGACGAAGAAACCACCGAGCAGUGACAAGGCGAGCCCGAAGACCCUUGAAAGAAGCACACAACAAACAUGUUGCCUUGGUUGCUCGAACGACGACCUGAAAACAUGCCAUGUAUCCUUGAUUCCUCUAACCUGUGGCAUUAAUUUUAUGAACGAUGACCUGAUUACACGCCUUGCUGCCUAGAUGUGUCGAACGAUGGCCUUGAAAGAUGCCUACCCGAACACGUUGCCUUGUUAACUAGUUCCAUGUUGCCUUGAUUUCUCCAACAUGUUGCCUUGAUAUGUUUAAGUAAAUCCUGAAAACUAGCCAUGUCGCCUUGUUUUCUCGAACGACGACCUGGAAACUAGCCUCGUUGCCUUGGCUGCUGGAACAUGCUGCCUUGCUUUCUCUAACAACGACCAGAAAACUUGCAUUGUUGCCUUUUGUUUUUAGAACGAUGACAUGCCAUGUAUCCUUGAUUCCUAUAACAAGUUGCAUUAAUUUUAUGAACGAUGACCUGAUUACAGGCCUUGCUGCCUACAUUUGUCGAACGAUGGCCUUGAAAGUUGCCUACCCAAACACGUUGCCUUGUUGACAAGUUCCAUGUUGCCUUGAUUUCUCCAACAUGUUGCCUUGAUAUGUUUAAGAAAAUCCUGAAAACUAGCCAUGUCGCCUUGUUUUCUUGAACGACGACCAGGAAACUAGCCUCGUUGCCUUGGCUGAUGGAACAUGUUGCCUUGUUUUCGCUUACGACGACCAUAAAACUUGCAUUGUUGCCUCGGCUGCUCGAUCGACGUCCUGAAAAACAUGCCAUGUAUCCUUGAUUCCUCUAACAAGUUGCAUUAAUUUUAUGAACGAUGGCCUGAUUACAGGCCUUGGUGCCUAGAUCUGUCGAACGAUGGCCUUGAAAGUUGCCUACCCGAACACGUUGCCUUGUUGACUAGUUCCAUGUUGCCUUGAUUUCUCCAACAUGUUGCCUUGAUAUGUUUAAGAAAAACCUGAAAACUAGCCAUGCCGCCUUGUUUUCUUGAACGACGACCAGGAAACUAGCCUCGUUGCCUUGGCUGAUGGAACAUGUUGGCUUGUUUUCUCUUAUGACGACCAUAAAACUUGCAUUGUUGCCUUGGCUGCUCGAUCGACGUCCUGAAAACAUGACAUGUAUCGUUGAUUCCUCUAACAAGUUGCAUUAAUUUUAUGAACGAUGACCUGAUGACAAGCCUUGCUGCCUAUAUCUGUCGAACGAUGGCCUUGAAAGUUGCCUACCGGAACACGUUGCCUUGUUGACUAGUUGCAUGUUGCCUUGAUUUCUCCAACAUGUUGCCUUGAUAUGUUUAAGAAAAUCCUGAAAACUAGCCAUGUCGCCUUCUUUUCUUUAACGACCCACGAUGCCUUGAGUUAUCGAUCGAAGACCAGAAAACUAGCCUCGUAUCCUUGAUGUGUUUUUAUCGGAGGCCGCGUCACCAUUGUUGGUGAAAUACGGCCCGGUCACCGGGUUUGAUUAUUGUAAGUUCCUUUUUCCUUGUCCAAUUCGUGCCAAAACGGCUUUAUUUUGGCGAGUUAUAGAGAAUUAUAGCGUCUGAGUUUUUCGACUCGGCGAAGACUAGAUACGCCCAAGAUUAACCGGUGACGAGAUGACCCAGAUGAAAACCUGUCCAAAAUCAUAUUUUGCUCAGCAACUCGAAAUCCGUGCACAUUUUCUCGAUCACGAAAGAAAUUUUACCAUGUAAAUCAAGACGACCUGAAAACUAGCCUUCUUGCCUUGAUUAUUCGAACUUGUUGCUUAGAUAUUUUGAACGAUGACCUUGAAGCUAGGCUUGUUGCCUUGAUUUUUAGACCGAUGACCUGAAAACUAGCCUUUUGUGGCCUUGGUUUCUUGAACGAUGACCUGAAAACUUGCCACGAUGUCUUGAUUUCUCCCGACGUCGUGCGCAUACUAAAAAUUAUGCAUCCUCGGGCAAAUCAAUGUUUGUUGCCUUGAUUUCUUGAACAUGUUGCCUUGAUUUCUAGAACGAUGACCUGAAAACUAGCCUUGUGGCCUUGAAUUGUAGGACAUGUUGUCUUGAUAUCUCAAACGAAAGCCUGAUUGCUAUCCCCAUUGCCUUGAUGGCGGCGAAGCCACCGUCGAGCACCGACAAGGCAAGCCCAAUGACCCGUGAACGAAGCCCACCCCAACAUCUUUCCGUGUUUUCUCGAACGACGACCUAUAAACUAGCCUUGUUCCCUUGAUUAUUCGAACUUGUUGCUUAGAUUUCUUGAAGGAUGACCUUGAAACUAGGCCUGUUACCUUUAUUGUUGCCUUGAUUUUUAGAACGAUGACCUGAAAACUAGCCUUGUGGCCUUGGUUUCUAGAACAUGAUGUCUUGAUAUCUCGAAUGACGAGCGGAGAGCAGUGCCCGUUGCCUUGAUUUUUCGAACGAAGACCUGAAAAACAAGCCAUAUUGCCUUGAUAUCUCGAACCUGGUGGCUUGGUUUUUGGAACGAAGGACACGAACGAUGCUUUGGUUUAAGUAAAAUGUUGGCGGCCUUUCUCGGACGACGGCUGAAAGCUGGCGUGUUGCCUUGAUUUAUGGAGCGCCUUCGAUUUAUACAACAUGUUGUCCGUGUUUCUCGAACGACGACCUGAAAGCUUGGAUUUAUUGAACGACGGCCUGAAAACAAGCCUUGCCGCCUUGAUCACUCGAACAUGUUGCCUUGAAUUAUCAAACUACUACCCGAAAGCAUGUUGCCUUGAAUUAUCAAACACCGUCGAAGUCACUACACACGAUGCAUGCCCACAUUAAAUGAGUAUAUGUUGCUCUUUCGACAUUUUUGACGUCAUAUGAGAAAACAAAGUAUAAUUGGUGGUCCUAGUAAAGCGAGUCAUCAGCGCGGGUUGUUAUGUGUUUUUAUCGGAGGCCGCGUCACCGUUGUUGGCGAAUUACGGGCUGAUCACCGGGUUUUAUUAUUGUAAGGUCCUUUAUCCUUGUCCAAUUCGUGCCAAACCGGCUUCAUUUUGGCGAGUUAAAUAGAAUUAUAGCGUCUGGGAUUUAUCGACUCGGCCAAGACUAGAUACGGCCAAGAUUAACCGGUGAGCAGAUGACCCAGCCCGAUGAAACCCGGCCAAAAUCAUAUUUUGCUCGACAACUCGAAAUCCAUGGACAUUUCCUCGAUCACGAAAGAAAUUUUACCAGGAAAAUCAACGAUUUCGAGCAACUUUCGUUCAAUGGGUUUUUGCGAAAUCGGAAGUAAAAGACCACCCGGUGACCGAAGACGACCCAACCCGAUGAAAGUUAGCCAAAAUCACAUCUUGCUCGGUAACUCGAAAUCCGUGCACAUUUUCUGGAUCACGAAAGAAAAUUUACCAGGUAAAUCAAUGAUUUCGAGCAACUUUCAUUUAAUGGGUUUUCGCUGAUUCGGAAGUACAAGAUCACCCGGUGACCAAAGACGACAAGACGCGGUGAAAGUGAGCCAAAAUCGCAUUUUGCUCGGUAACUCGAAAUCCGUGCACAUUUUCUCGAUCAUGAAAGGAAUUUUGCCCAGUAAAUCAAGGUUUCCGAGCAACUUUCAUUCAAUGGGUUUUCGCUAAUUCGGAAGUAAAAGACCACCCGGUGACCGAAGUCGACCCAACCCGAUGAAAGUUUGCCGAAAUCACAUAUGGAUCGGUAACUCGAAAUCCGUGCACAUUUUCUCGAUCACGAAAGAAAAUUUACCAGGUAAAUCAAUGAUUUCGAGCAACUUUCAUUCAAUGGGUUUUCGCUAAUUCGGAAGUACAAGACCACCCGGCGACCGAAGUCGACCCAACCCGAUGAAAGUUAGCCGAAAUCACAUAUGGAUCGGUAACUCGAAAUCCGUGCACAUUUUCUCGAUCACGAAAGAAAAUUUACCAGGAAAAUCAAUGAUUUCGAGCAACUUUCAUUCAAUGGGUUUUUGCCAAUUCGAAAGUUAAAGUCCGGUAGUGUGUGUGUACAAGUAUCGAAGCUUCGGUCCCCCGGGUAAUUACGGACCAAAAACAUAUUUUUUUUUUUGGAAAGUACAUUAUUCGUGUUAAUAAAGAGCCACGCAAAAUUUCGUCAAAAUCCGACUUAAUUUGAGGGAGUUAUGGACGUUUUUUGCAAAAUUAUGCAUCCUGGGGGAAAUCAAUGUCUGUUCCUGUCACCAAGCUCUUUGUGCAAUAUGUAUAUAUAGGGGAGGGCAUGGUUGCUGAAUCCACCAUCGAGCAUCGCAAAGGCAAGCCCCAAGACCCGUGAAAGAGCCCUCCCCCAACACGUUGCCUUGAUUGCUCGAACGACGACCCAAAAACUAGCUGCGUUGCCUUGAUUCAUCGAACAUGUUGCCUUUAUUUGUGGAACGAUGACCGGAUGACAAGAAGCGUUGCCUACAUUUGUCGAACGACGACCUUGAAACGAGCCCGGUUGCCUUGAUUCCUUGAGCAUGUUGCCUUCAUUUUUUGAACGAUGACCUGAAAACUAGCCUAAUGGAAAACAUGGGUCCUAUUCCUCAUUGCC
rnacentral:lncRNA from 1 species